AUUGAACGCUGGCGGCGUGCUUAACACAUGCAAGUCGAUCGGUAACGCGGGGGCAACCCUGGCGACGAGAGGCGGACGGGUGAGGAACGCUUGGGAAUCUGCCUAUCAGCGGGGGACAACACGGGGAAACUCGUGCUAAUACCGCAUACGCUCUACGGAGGAAAGCCGGGGACCGCAAGGCCUGGCACUGAUAGAUGAGCCCAAGCCGGAUUAGCUAGUUGGCGGGGUAACGGCCCACCAAGGCGACGAUCCGUAGCUGGUCUGAGAGGACGAUCAGCCACACUGGGACUGAGACACGGCCCAGACUCCUACGGGAGGCAGCAGUGGGGAAUAUUGGACAAUGGGGGAAACCCUAAUUCAGCGACGCCGCGUGGGUGAAGAAGGCCUGCGGGUUGUAAAGCCCUUUCGGUAGGGACGAAAGCGCUCGACCGAACACGUCGGGAGGUUGACUUAACCUACAAAAGAAGCACCGGCUAACUCUGUGCCAGCCGCCGCCGUAAGAC
rnacentral:rRNA from 1 species